GUAGUUAGCAGGUGUGCUCUUCUCGCAAAUUAAGUGACUCAGAAACAAUAAUGAGUUGAGCUCUAAUCAGUAUAAUUGUGCCCAGCCAGGGGAAUCUGCAUGAUAAAAUUACAUCAAUGUGUAGAGAUUCUCAUUGAGUUACUGAAGAAAUUCUAGACCAGCCAAAUUUGGAAACUGAGAAAGCUGAAUAACCAAAGAAUCAAUCAAGCAAACAUUCAGCUGUGCUUUUACGAGUCUAUCUUUUCAAGUAUGGCUGCUUUUCACUGCUAUUGAACUUGUGGACAUCAUAAGAGCUUUUUGGCUCCUAAGACCAGUUAAAACAACAAUGGUUUGUCAGCUUGCCCAUUCUAGGAGAAAAAGAGUGUGUGACCUAUGGCAGCUAACCAAUUGGAUAACAACACAGAUGACAUGCCAGGCCACUGCAAGCCGAGUUGAACUUCAAAGAUCAUGAUGAUGACCAUGAUGGAGUGAUGAUGAAGAUGGCAGUCUAGGACCUGCAUGUGUAAUUGCUCCUGCUGCUCACAACAGAAGACACCCACCAUCAUGCCAGGCAGUCAAUUUUCGUGACCAGUUUCGGGACUUAGUGACAGAUAUCUUCCAGAUGCAGAUGACAGCCCUGAUGGGUAACUUCUUUCAGAGCUCAAAAAAUGGCCAGCACUCCACAUCAGCAAUAAAAAUACUCUUUAUUAAUACUUAAUAAAAAGCAUGUAGAGGCAUUUAAUGAGCAAGACAAACCGGUUUUGAGCUUUGAAUUUUGGUCUUGCAUUGUUGCCAUACUUACGAGAGCAGUCCUAUGGUGUAAAAACUUCUUUCAGGACAUGGGGCAGGUGUGACUCCUUCUGGGAGACAGCUAGAAAGAUCUUUUGUGAUAUUCUACCCCAUCAGGAAAGUUCCUCAGUACUCUAAGUAUUGACUGUGUGAUCCACUUUUGUAAUGCUGCCACCACGGUGUUUUCCAUAUUCAAAUAUUUAUGGUCUAGGCACAACUGGGCAGGCAUCCCAUAUCACUGCCAUGUUUUUCUGACACAUGUCAUAAUGUACACUGCACAUACCACAAGAACACAGUGUAGUGAGGGAGAGAAGGGGGAGAAAUUGAAUACCAUCAUGGAAGUACUGAAUAGAGAAAACUAUAAAGCAACUAAGACAAG